GAUGAACGCUGGCGGCGUGCCUAAUACAUGCAAGUCGAGCGAACGGACGAGAAGCUUGCUUCUCUGAUGUUAGCGGCGGACGGGUGAGUAACACGUGGAUAACCUACCUAUAAGACUGGGAUAACUUCGGGAAACCGUAGCUAAUACCGGAUAAUAUUUUGAACCGCAUGGUUCAAAAGUGAAAGACGGUCUUGCUGUCACUUAUAGAUGGAUCCGCGCUGCAUUAGCUAGUUGGUAAGGUAACGGCUUACCAAGGCAACGAUGCAUAGCCGACCUGAGAGGGUGAUCGGCCACACUGGAACUGGGACACGGUCCAGACUCCUACGGGAGGCAGCAGUAGGGAAUCUUCCGCAAUGGGCGAAAGCCUGACGGAGCAACGCCGCGUGAGUGGUGAAGGUCUUCGGAUCGUAAAACUCUGUUAUUAGGGAAGAACAUAUGUGUAAGUAACUGUGCACAUCUUGACGGUACCUAAUCAGAAAGCCACGGCUAACUACGUG
rnacentral:rRNA from 1 species